rnacentral:lncRNA from 1 species
UGGCGAUGCAGGCGGCUCCGGGCCGGCCCCCGGCGCAGGUACAGUCGGCGGCGCAGGGCUGGCAGGAGGGGGCCGGGGGGGUCCUGGCGGCCGCCAGCCCCCCGCACAGCAGGGAGCAGAGCAGGCACCAGCCCGAGAGGGGCAGCCGCGCCGCGGGGACGCCAUGUUUGCGCUGUGUUCCAGUGUCUCCAUUUCCAAAAGGCAUCUCUUCCUACGGGCAUGGCAUGGCCCCGGCCCGCCUCUCCCCCGGCCCGGCCCGGCCCGGGCCCGGCCGCGCCCCGCGCUCGGCUGCAAUCUGCGCUCCGCUCCGAGCCGCUCCGCUCCUCCCGUGCCGCGGCGCUCAGCGCAUGGCGGGCUCCCCUCGGCGCUGCGGUGCGCGCUGCUCCCGCGGCGGCGCCCGGCCCGGCCCGGCCCCUGGGCUCCGCUCCCCGCGCUGACAGCCCCGGCCCCGCUCCGCUCCGCUCUGCGCUCCGCCCGGGCCGCGGCCCGCAGCCUCCCGCUCCGCCUCCCGCCCGGCGGAAACCCGGCGCCGCUCCAGCCCCUCCGCCCGCCCCCGCGGCAGCCCCCGCCCGGCCCCGGCACCGCUCCCGGUCCAGGCUGCGGCGAAGCCGCGGGUGCGGGGAGCGCUCGGCCCCGCUCGGUGAGGGGUGAACGGGGGCGGCCGGGCUGGGGAACCCCGGCGGAGGGCACUGCUGCGGGGCUGGCGUCUCUUCCGAGGCCACCGCAGCCUUACGGUAUUGGAUCUUGUAAGAGCCGCGUGUUUGGCAUCUGCGGCACGGCAGCCGUUCAGACAGGUUGCCAACGUGAAACACUAUGGCCGGUCCCACGAGGAGGAACCUGGAGUUACCCCAUCUCCUCUCACCCGUGUCCACCUCCUGCCCUGCAGCCAAUACAAGCAUUCCCAGCUGUUAUCCAUGACCCAGAUGACUGCAGCCACCUCCUCAUGCUCUGCUGCCUUUCCUCCAGACAUAAUAUUUUCCUUGCCUGGAAGGCCUGGGGGAGAGGACAGCUGAAAGCCAAAACUUCAUCCUAUGUUAUAUUACAUUUGCCACCACCAAUCUCUGUUCGAUCUUUCUAUUUGAGCAGAGCUCUUUAGGUGACUUCAGAGCAUGAAGCUCGUCUGCUGGUUCACGGUGCUGGUGUGGCAGAGUCAAGAUCUGCACCUGAGACAGACUUCCUCAUACACCAGCUGUUAGAUGUAACACCUCACAGAGAGGGCUGAAAAUUAAAAACAGAGAAGUUGCCAA